rnacentral:rRNA from 1 species
UACGGAGGAUGCAAGCGUUAUCCGGAAUGAUUGGGCGUAAAGCGUCCGCAGGUGGCAAUGUAAGUCUGCUGUUAAAGGGUGAGGCUCAACCUCAUAAGAGCAGUGGAAACUACAUAGCUAGAGUGCGUUCGGGGCAAAGGGAAUUCCUGGUGUAGCGGUGAAAUGCGUAGAGAUCAGGAAGAACACCGGUGGCGAAAGCGCUUUGCUAGGCCGCAACUGACACUGAGGGACGAAAGCUAGGGGAGCGAAUGGG